rnacentral:tRNA from 2 species
GUGGCUAUAGUUCAAUGGUAGAACACCGGGUUGUGGUCCCGGAUACGAGGGUUCAAUUCCCUCUAGCCACC